CGGCAUGGAUUAGGCAUGCAAGUCGAACGAUGAAACAGAAGCUUGCUUCUGUGAAUUAGUGGCGAAAGGGUGAGUAACGCGUGAAUAAUUUGCCCCUAAGUUGGGAAUAGCCUCGGGAAACUGGGAUUAAAACCGAAUGUGGUCUUCUGUCGCAUGGCAGAAUGAUUAAAAAUUUAUUGCUUAGGGAUGAGUUCGCGUUCCAUUAGCUAGUUGGUAAGGUAACGGCUUACCAAGGCAACGAUGGAUAGCUGGUCUGAGAGGAUGACCAGCCACACUGGGACUGAGACACUGCCCAGACUCCUACGGGAGGCUGCAGUCGAGAAUCUUCCGCAAUGGGCGCAAGCCUGACGGAGCAAUGCCGCGUGCAGGAUGAAGGCCUUUGGGUCGUAAACUGCUGUCACCAGGGAAGAACAUAAUGACGGUACCUGGAGAGGAAGCACCGGCUAACUACGUGCCAGCAGCCGCGGUAAUACGUAGGGUGCAAGCGUUGUUCGGAUUUAUUGGGCGUAAAGGGUCCGCAGGGGGUUUUUUAAGUCUGAUGUGAAAUCCCACGGCUCAACCGUGGAACUGCAUUGGAAACUGAAAGACUAGAGUACUGGAGAGGUAAGUGGAAUUCCUGGUGGAGCGGUGGAAUGCGUAGAUAUCAGGAGGAACACCGAGAGCGAAGGCAGCUUACUGGACAGUUACUGACCCUCAGGGACGAAAGCAUGGGUAGCAAACAGGAUUAGAUACCCUGGUAGUCCAUGCCGUAAACGUUGUAUACUAGGUGUGGGAGGAUUUAUCCCCUUCCGUGCCCAAGCUAACGCGAUAAGUAUACCGCCUGGGGACUACGGCCGCAAGGCUAAAACUCAAAGGAAUUGACGGGGACCCGCACAAGCGGUGGAGCAUGUGGCUUAAUUCGAGGCAACGCGAAGAACCUUACCUGGGUUUGACAUAUAUUGGACCGCUCUAGAGAUAGAGCUUUUCUUCGGAACUGAUAUACAGGUGCUGCAUGGCUGUCGUCAGCUCGUGUCGUGAGAUGUUCGGUUAAGUCCGGCAACGAGCGCAACCCAUGUCGUUAUUUGCAAACAGUUCGGCUGUGCACUAUAGCGAGACUGCCCGUGUCAAGCGGGAGGAAGGCGUGGACGACGUCAAGUCCGUAUGGCCCUUAUGCCCAGGGCUGCACACGUGCUACAAUGGCCGGAACAAUGGGAUGCAAUGUCGCGAGGCGGAGCAAAUCCUCAACACCGGCCCCAGUUCGGAUUGGAGUCUGCAACUCGACUCCAUGAAGUCGGAAUCGCUAGUAAAGGCGUAUCAGCAAUGACGCCUUGAAUACGUUCCCGGGUCUUGUACACACCGCCCGUCACAUCAUGGAAGCUGAUUGCACCCGAAGUCGUUGACCCAACUCUUUACUGAGAGGGAGACGCCGAAGGUGUGGUUGGUAACUGGGAUGAAGUCGUAACAAGGUAACCGUA
rnacentral:rRNA from 1 species